UGAGAACUUUAUUCUGGUUUAGUUAUUUGCUAAUAUUAGGUUUUAUAUGUAAAUUUUUGUUUAAUUUUUUCUAGAAGAGAAGUAUAUUGAAUAGAUCAGUAAAAAGUAUUAAUAAUUGGGUAAUCCUUUAAUUAGUCAUAAUAGUAGUAUUGAUUAAAUAUGUGCCAGCAUUCGCGGUUAUACAUUGGAUACAAGUGAAUUUUAUUAGUAUAUAAGUUACUUUAUAAAGGUAAUAUAUAAGUUAUUAAUUUUUAGGUGAAAUUUAAAUUUUUGUAAAGAUAUUUAUGGUUGGAGGAAGCUUUGAAAUUCAAUUAAUAAACUAGGAUUAGAUACCCUAUUAUUUUGAAUAUAAAUUGAUGUAUGCUUAAGUAGUAAUAGAUAAGGUCUUGAAACUUAAAGAAUUUGGCGGUAUUUUAGUCUAUUUAGAGGAAUCUGUCCCGUAAUCGAUAGUCCACGUUGGACCUUACUUAAUUUAUAGUAUGUAUACCGCCGUUGUUGAAAAUCUUAAUAGAGCAAUUUCUUAAUUUUUUUAAGUAAAAAUUUCAGGUCAAGGUGCAGCUUAUGAUUAAGAGGAGAUGGAUUACAAUAUUUUAAAAUAGAUGAAUUUUUAUUAGAAAUAGUUAAUUGAAGGUGGAUUUAAUAGUAAAUUUAUAAAGAUUGUCAAGUUGAUAAAAGCUCUAUAAUGUGCACACAUCGCCCGUCGCUCUCGUUGAUUAAGGUGAGAUAAGUCGUAACAAAGUAGGUGUACCGGAAGGUGUAGCUAGAUUGAC
rnacentral:ncRNA from 1 species